AUUGAACGCUGGCGGCAGGCCUAACACAUGCACGUCGAGCGGUAGCACAGAGAGCUUGCUCUCGGGUGACGAGCGGCGGACGGGUGAGUAAUGUCUGGGAAACUGCCUGAUGGAGGGGGAUAACUACUGGAAACGGUAGCUAAUACCGCAUAACGUCGCAAGACCAAAGUGGGGGACCUUCUGGCCUCAUGCCAUCAGAUGUUCCCAGAUGGGAUUAGCGGGUAGGUGGGGUAACGGCUCACCUAGGCGACGAUCCCUAGCUGGUCUGAGAGGAUGACUAGCCACACUGGAACUGAGACACGGUCCAGACUCCUACGGGAGGCAGCAGUGGGGAAUAUUGCACAAUGGGCGCAAGCCUGAUGCAGCCAUGCCGCGUGUGUGAAGAAGGCCUUCGGGUUGUAAAGCACUUUCAGCGGGGAGGAAGGCGGUGAGGUUAAUAACCUCAUCGAUUGACGUUACCCGCAGAAGAAGCACCGGCUAACUCCGUGCCAGCCGCCGCCGUAA
rnacentral:rRNA from 1 species